AUGAGAUUUCAGGAUAGAAAGGGAGCUUUGGAGAGGGAUCGCAAAGAUCAAGGCUAUUGUGUCAAGUACUGUGCUCAAAACGUCCAUUGGGUGCAUCCAUCUCGCCCCAGUUCAUCACCAACCACCGUGCAAUUUACAUCCACUGCGAUCAUGGAUGACCCCGUGAGACAUUGUCGCCAGUCCUAUUCUUCUAGAUACAAUGGGUCAGCUAAUACGGUAUUUUGCUAUGCUAAUCACGCUUCCGUUUCAUUAAAUUCUCAGAACAAUACUACUUGCUUUCUACUAAUAGUGUUCUGUCCACUGCAAAAAUAA
rnacentral:rRNA from 1 species